GGCGGGCGGAGGACCUGGGCUCAGCCCGCAGAGCGUCUGCCGUGCCCCGGUACCGGCCGCAUGCUCACGCUUAUCCAGCCCCAGCAAACUUCAAACUUUGCGGACUGCUUGUCGUCCUGCAGGCGACGGGGAGCAGAGGAAAAAGUCAGGUUUUGUAAUGGCUUUGCUUGGAGUUUCAGUUGCAUGAACAGCAGGGCCUGGACUGAGGCGGCUGUGACUGCCUAGGGCGCCUCCCGACACGGGCUGGGUGCUGCUCCCAGCCUGCCAGAGGCUGUGACCUUUGGCAACCAUGCUGAUGAUCGGAAGAAUGGAGCAUCUGGACAUCAGGAGGAUAAGAAAGUUGGGAAGGAAGCUGGGUCUGCAAGAAAAAGCAACAGAACCCCAUCCUGUGAGGUCACUAAAUAUGCCUUUUGUUUAUGCAGAUGACCGAUAAAUUGGAUGUUUUAACAUCUAAUUUUCCUAAGUUGCUGCUGGGUUAAUGUGCUUUAGUUUCACAAAGGCCAACUUAGGAAAUUCUAUGCCAGUUUUCAUAGAUUCAAAGUGCUAUUGGCUUCUAAAUUAGAUAAACAGAGCUUCCAAAAAUUAUGUCAACUAUGUGUCAAGUUGGCAUAAAAAACAAGAAACACCCUGUGUCAGUGUCAUUUAAAUAAACAAGUU
rnacentral:lncRNA from 1 species